rnacentral:tRNA from 1 species
GCGCCGAUGGUGUAAAGCGUAGUAACGCUGCUCGGAAAGCAAAGGGUGCGGGUUCGAAUCCCGCCUGGCGCA